GCUGGUUUAAAGCUGGGAGAUUACCGUUCCCGCGAAGUGUUGAAUGGGUCUAAAGUAGAGGUCACGAAAGGUAGAUCCUGAGGACCAAUCGGCCGCCUUCAAAAUGUCUUCAAGGCGACAACAAAUCGAGGAAGCCUUCGAGGCCAUCGCUCCUCGUACCAAAUAAGGUGAGAAUAGUGAGGUGUCGAUGCCCGCUAGGGCCAUAAUCCAUUUAACCCAGCGAGUCAGGGUAGAGGUAGGUGCGGUUUCUGAAAAGAGAUGAAAAGUUCGUGUUUUGCUGGAUCUCUUAAAGUGGAGGUGCGAAGUUCAUAAAUUUGUAGGCAUUUGAACGGACAUAAGGACGGUCUGUCAGGGAAUGAUGGGUAUAAGACCUUCUUUGAU